UAUGCACCGAACCUGGAACUGAUUACUGAUUCCAUCCUGGAUUUUGGUACCUCUUUGUGUCUUUGAUCUCCUGGCUCUGACUCCCAACCUGUCAGAGGCUUGAACCAACCUCAUUCUCUGUGGAUGGACUAAACUUAAAGACCAGGUCUCCUGCCUGCUCACUGGGGUUGCUGCAUGGGGACACUCUGGAACACUCAGCUCUACAUCUCACUGGCAGUGCAUCAGCUGAUCCUGCUUUUGAUGAGAAGUCGGACUGAACUUUUAAACCAGAGUGCCAGUGAUGAGCGAUUCUCCGCCUUGCUGCUGCAGUAGCUGCAGGUCUGCUGAUCCACAGCAGUCUCUUUCUGUUCCAUCUCAUUACUUUGUCAUUAAAAGUUUUGAAACCUCCGACUAUUUGACUCGCCUUGAAUACUGGGUUCAUCUGUCCCAUUUUAUGACGCUUUCAGAAAGACCAGAAACUUUUAUUUGAGCAACAAUAAAUCCACACACUUCAACAAGCAACUUCU